GACAGAGGUGCCGAGCGUUAGGCGGAAUCACUGGGCUUAAAGCGCGUGUAGGCGGGAGGGCACGUCCGUCGCUGAAAUCCCCCGGCUCAACCGGGGAACGGGCGCGGAUACGACUCUCCUGGAGGGGCGUAGGGGGACCUGGAACUUCCGGUGGAGCGGUGAAAUGCGUUGAGAUCGGAAGGAACGCCCGUGGCGAAAGCGAGGUCCUGGACGCCUACUGACGCUGAGACGCGAAAGCCAGGGGAGCCGAACGGGAUUAAG
rnacentral:rRNA from 1 species